rnacentral:lncRNA from 1 species
UGGGUCUGUAAUUUGUUGCUAAAACCUUGUCACCAUCUUUGUAAACUAGUAUUACCUUAGCAGUUUUCAGUAAUGAAGGAUAUACACCAGUAUCUAUCAUUCUGUUGAAUAUAUAUGUGAGAGGAGAGGCAAUAUAUGGGGCACUUAUUUUAAGGAUUUGGGGUCCAUUGUUAUCAGACCCGAUGAUUUAUUUACAUCAGGUUUUGUUAACUCAUCAAAUAGCUCAUUUAUCUUUAUUGGUGUUAAGGUAAAUUUCUCGUGAUUUUCUUGUACUAAUUGAUUUUCAAUGAAUGUGCUAAGAUUAUUGAAAUCCGCCUUGUCAACAGAUGUAUUGUCUCUUUGCUCACUUAUUUUUUCGGCACAGGAAGUAAAAAAAUUGUCAAAAGUAUCUGCUAUUGAUUUUUUUAUUAUUUGUCGUUGUGUUGUUAUCAUCUGUAGUUAACUCAUUUGGGGAUGUUUUACCUUAGGGUUUAGACUAUGAAGGCAUUUCCAUAAAAAAUAAUUGAGUCAUUAGAUUCUUUUACCAUGUUUUUAUAAUGUUUUUUUUUUUUUUAGUUCUCUAUUCUUUGUUUAGUUUUAUUUCUCUAAAAUAUAUAUUCACUUCACAAUCCAAGUGCAUUAUAUUUAUCCCUCAUGUUCCUAGCAUAACUAAUUUCACUAUUAUACCAAUCAGAUUGCCUAUCCUUUUUAACUCUUUUUUCAUCAACAGGAGCAUGAUUAUCUAAAACUUUGUUCAACGUAUCAUAACAUAAUUGAAGACAGACAGAAGGAUUCAAAUUCAAUUUUAUAAAAAAUGUGUUCUUUAUAGGUCUAAUAGAAAUUCAUUUUGGUCAUUUUAACUCCUUUAUGUGAUUGUACUGUGUGUAUUCUUUUCGUCUUUAUUAACUUCUUUCCUUGUUAAACAAAUAUGAUAAUGUGCACUAUUGAUAUUUACAUGUGUCACUAUCUAGAUCAAUCGAUGUACUAGAAUACUUUGUGACACUUGUAGCAUCUUCAAUCAAUUGUUGAAUAUCGAACGAUUCUAAAACACUCAACCAUUUUUAGAAGGUUUGCUUGGUGCUUUAAAAUUCAUAUUAAAAUCACUCAAUAAUAAUAUAUCUAAAUAAAUGGUCACUGUCAUUCCUAGUUCUUUUUCAAAAUCAUCAA